UAAAGUUCUGUCUGUCAGCGUUCUAACUCCAUAUUCUUGGUUUUUUUUUAGAUUUUCUUACAUUUGGCUUCACAGCGCUGGAGGGAGAAGAGGUGCACCCACGGGAUGCUCGGUCACAUCCUGCUCGUUGGCCUUGCUGAUCAGGUGUAGACCCCCCAGAGACAAACUCUGCGCACUGAUACCACCUCGUAGAACCAGACAGGAUGCGAUCCAGUUUGCAUCCGGGCGAGGAUAAACAGCCCGUCAUUCAUCCUUCAUACGUCUCCAGCGUCGCUGGGAUCGGAUAUGUUGGACACGCUCCGGGCUCUGAACCCUGCUCAUGUCUGGUGCUUGAAAAACCUUGGAUCAGACAAAUCAGAGUGAACACAGUUUUGGAAAAUCUCUAUUUGUUUUUCUGAAGGAAGCAUCCGGAUGAUCUGACGAGGCUUUAAAGGGUGUCGAAUGGAUUACGUCUCUGCGUUUUGACAGUUUGAAUCCACGCGGAUGCUAAAAUGUGGCUCGGGGAAUACAUUGAAUGGAUUACUUUGGAUUUUUGGCAAACCAAUUUUGUGACAUCUUUUUCAGGAUGUUAUGGUUUGUCUAUGAUCAGUGGCACCGCUCCUCUCUUUCCCCAUCAUACAGUCACAUGCCAAAGGAUUACUGCAGUAUUAUGACAGCAUUAUUUCAAUAACGGGGGGAGGAAUAUACCGACUUUUAAAAAAAAAAAGCACACCUCUCUUAUGUCUCUCUCAUGUUGGGCCUUGGAGUGAAAACACGAGCACAUUGUCAACCUUUUGUCUCAAAGCAUCAAUAUUAACAAACGAACAAACUUUUCUGGCACUUUGUUUUCAUCUCUUCCCCUCCUCGCUCUCUCUCUCUCUCUUUCUCUCUUUCUCUCGCUCUCAUUUUCAUGAACAACUGAAUCGUAUACUCUCAAGUAUAACCAGACUUCUGGCUCCGAAUGACUUAGAAAAUGUUGAAAUAAUCAGUGUGUUUGCGUCCAUGGUGGAUUGGUUCUCUGUGUGUCGGAGUAUUGAAAAAAAACAACCUUGAGUGUCCCGAGAACAGAGCCUUGAGGAACACCAUCGAGGCUAAACUAAAGCACAGACGCCUGCCCGACUGUACAUUCGAUGGUGGUUUUUUGGAAACACCCAUAUGAAACAAUGGUGAACUUUACCAUAAGUGUUCCUAUUACUACAAGCUGGCAUUCGAGAACGUUAAGUGUUUAUCGCGAUAUUAAAAAGAUGGCCAGCAGAACUUGCGCUGUCCCUCCCCCGUUCCUUCCCUCCCUCCCUCCCUCCCUCCCUUCCUCCCUUCUCCCUUUGCCGUUUGACAGUGUCUGUGUUUGUAUGUGACAUACACCUUACAGUCUUCGAUGGUUUGAUACCCAUGAUUUACUUUGAGUAUAACGGAACAAGUGACCACAAUAAGGAGAAAACACGACAACAUGCGAAACGGGGAUUUUAUGCUUUCAUAGAUACAAUUAUGUGGAUUUAUAAUGAAAUAAAAAGGUAUUUUUCUUGGAGAA